GCAGGGAGGAAGGGCAGGACAAUGGGCGCAGGCAGGGACGGGCAGCUGCCCACCUCCCAGCCUGGGGGGUCUGCGCUGGGGUUUUGCUGCAAAUCAAUGCAAGCUCCCUCCAGAGCAUCCUCUCUGCGCCGCAGUGGGUGAUACCAGCUGCAGGAGCCCCCCAACUUCCACUUUGCCAUCACCCUGCCAUGAGAACGGGGAUGGAACCGGGUACCACUGCUCAGCAAAGCCCUGUGUGGUGGGACCCUGCUCUCAUGGGGAGAUGAACCUCCCCUCAGAGCCACUUCUUAGGGUCCCUCCAUAAAACCACCCACCACAACCCCCCCCACCCAGGCGCAGCGUGGGAGAGCAGCAUCCCCACGGGCCUGCACCUCCCAGGGGCUGUGCUGUGGGGCAGGGAGCCGGGAUGCUGCUCCCCCAUCCCAAACUGCAGCCACGGGAAAAGAGGGAUUUGCUUUGGGGCUUUGCUCGCUCCGAGCCCAGCAUCCUUCCACCUCUGGUGGGCCGGGCCGGUGGGCAGCCCCGCAUUCCCCCUGGAUGUGGGGAGGGGAGAAGGCUGUUGCCCCCUGGCUCCCGGGCUGAGUGUGAGUGUUUACUCUCUGCCUUUCUCACCGCUCGCAGCAUGGCAGGAGUUAUUCAAAGGCGGGCGGAAGCGAGCGCAGCAACUGAAACAACAAUGAAAAGGAAACGGAGCUCGAAAAAUUCUCCGUUCAUAAAUCAACUGAACUGCAGGUGAUCCCUGGGCAGGAGCGAGCCAGGGAAAAGACUUGGAUCAGCACGGCUGGUGGCCUGAAAGCAGGGAAUGGGGUGGUUCUGGGUGAUGCUGGGGUUGGGGUCCGUGUCCCUGCACAUUGAGGGCUUUGGGGCAGGUGAGGUGCAGGUACCACUGCACUGAUUUAUGAUACCUAUAAGCAAAUAUAAGCGGGAAAGGUGAAGCUGGGCUGGGUGAAGCUCUUUCUGCAGCGGGGAUGGUGUCAUGCACACAUGUACAUGCACAUGCACACACAUGCAGCCAUGUCACAGCCAUGCCACAGCCAUGCUGCAGCCCCUCGGGGCUGGCAGAGUGGUGAGAUGGGGUUAUUGUGGUGCUCAAUGGGGUGCAGAGCAGCCCCCCAGCUCUUUUCACCUCCUCUGCAGCUUCAUGACUGCUUUUUGGGAUGAAACGCAUUGCUUUUUAAGCAGAGGAUGUGGGUGAGCAUGGAUCCAGUCAGCGUCUAUGCCAUGGGGAUGUUGGAGUUAACGGGAGUUGAUCCAGGGCUCUCAGCAGCAUCGGGCCAUGGCUCCUUGCUGGGAUCUCAUAAAGUCUUUUUCCUCCUUAGGAAAAGGAGCUGCUGCCUUGGGACGGUCUCCUCGGAGCUGGCAGCAUCCCUGCAUGGGCAUGGAUGGAAAAAUCUUCCCCCCGAGCCAGGCCCUGCAGCAUCUUGCUGCUGGCGAGACGGGGACCAGUUUGGACCAGGCAUCCCCUCCUCACUGUCCCCUCUUUGCCAGCCCCUGUGAGCUGAGCCCCGACCUCAGGGACACCAAAAAGCAGCUCAGUGAAUGUGGGAUGGGACCCAAGGACCAGGCUGCUGGCAGCAGGCUGAGCCUUACAGCAGAGGAAAGGAUCCAGUCGUGGUCCCUGCGCUGGGAAAGCCGGGUGGGAUUGCAUCUCCCCCUCUGCCGCUCUCCGUCCCCCCUUCCGUGCGUUCCCUGUCAUCUUGUCUUUCGGCAGGGCUGGAAAACCGGGAGACCACCGUAAAUAAACCCUGUGUCUUUAA